UACUUACACAUGCAUAUAAUAUAAUUUGGCCACACCUGAGCACUUAUAAAACUUUGAUAUAAAAUUAUACUUCCCAAAACUACUAAAUUAAGUAGUACAUCUUAGCAAGAUCCUUGGGUCCAUUAAAAUGGGAAAAGCACUGGUAAAACUAUCACAGUGAUUAUUCACUUUUUAAAAAUUGGAUGACAUUCAGGUAGAAAACCACUGGGCACCUACUGAAAACUGAGAUCAUUUCCUAUCUUCUCCAGUUUUUCUUAUCUGUCUGUUCAAUAACUUUUCUCUUGCUCCUUGAAUCACAUUUGAAUGUCGUGUUUUUCUAUGUAAUUUUAAAUUUACACCACUCUCCAUAGAUAGGAAACCCUCCCGACAUCUGUGACCCUCUAGGGCCUUGUACCCUGUUCCUUCCAUAUCCCCUUCUUCCUCUGAAAACACUCUGAUUAUAUUCUAUCAUAAUGUCUGUUUUAACCAUGUUUCUCCUAUAGUAGAUAAUCAAAUCCAAGACAGAAAAGGCCAUGCCGUUCUCGUUCAUUUUUGUAUACUUAGUACAAAUCAAAAUCUCUGACAUAUAGUAGGUGCCACAGUCUGGCUGGGCACAAAUGCUGCAGUCUGGCUGGGCACACAAUCACGAGCCACCACACAGCUUGUAGAUUCAAACAGCAACUCUUUAUUCUCGAACUCACACCAGCCAUCUACAAACACGUUCUGGGGAAAUCCACGUUCUCUGCCCAAAUCCACGUUCUCUGCCCAAAUCCACCUCCACUGGGCUUCUAUCUCCAAAAAAUACUGUCUGAAUCCCGUGAGAACUCAAGGGGAACUCAGGCAGCAGGAUACGCCCUAUUCCCAGCAGGAAUAAUCUUAAACCUUAAACCUGGAACCUAAACUGGGAAUGCCCUAAACAAGAUUAUCUUAAAACCGGGAACACCCUAAUCUGCCUUGGUCCUUGAGCAAGGUCACUUACAUUCAAUGUCACUGCAACAUGUCAGCAACAUGGGGUACGCUGGCAAGGAAAUUGUCAUACCUACUUGGCUAAUGGCUCCCAGCAAGUAGGCAUUCAAGAAAUAUGUUCAUUGACAACUAGAUGGAUGGAUGAAUAGAUGGGUAUGCAGAAUGUCCUUAAAUGGGUGACCCAUAUGUGAUUAUCUUUAUAUCCCUUGCACAUUAACAGUUGCUAGGCUCUAUAUCUAUCCUG
rnacentral:lncRNA from 1 species